rnacentral:rRNA from 1 species
CUCUUUGGUGCACUUCUUCGCUUGGCAGGUUAGCUUCAAUUUUGGAUGUCAUAAAAUUAUUGGGGGAAGGUAGCUCCUUUCGGGGAGUGUUAUAGACCUUGGUAGAUGUGAUGACCGGGAUCGAGGAUUGCAGCGGAUACCCUUUUGGGCUAGUCACCUGAUCUCUAACUGAUAUUGGGUUACGGACAGCAUGCUGACCAUUGUCUAAUUAUUGGUUAAAAGGUUAGAGCGAGUGUAAAUUCGUUAAGGAUGUUGACGUAAAAA